rnacentral:rRNA from 1 species
GACGAACGCUGGCGGCGUGCUUAACACAUGCAAGUCGAACGGAAAGGCCCCUUUGGGGGUACUCGAGUGGCGAACGGGUGAGUAACACGUGAGUAACCUGCCCUUGACUUCGGGAUAACUUCAGGAAACUGGGGCUAAUACCGGAUAGGAAUCCUUGCUGCAUGGUGGGGGUUGGAAAGCUUCGGCGGUUUUGGAUGGACUCGCGGCGUAUCAGCUUGUUGGUGGGGUAGGGGCUUACCAAGGCAUUGACGGGUAGCCGGCCUGAGAGGGCGACCGGCCACAUUGGGACCGAGAUACGGCCCAGACUCCUACGGGGGGCCGCAGUGGGGAAUAUUGCACAAUGGGCGGAAGCCUGAUGCAGCAACGCCGCGUGCGGGAUGACGGCCUUCGGGUUGUAAACCGCUUUCAGCAGGGGCGAAGCUUGUGGUGACGGUACCUGCAGAAGAAGCACCGGCUAACUACGUG